CACGUAGGGGGCGAGCGUUGUCCGGAAUCAUUGGGCGUAAAGAGCUCGUAGGCGGCUCAGUAAGUCGGGUGUGAAGCCCCCAGGCUCAACCUGGGGACGCCACCCGAUACUGCUGUGGCUAGAGUCCAGUAGGGGAGUGUGGAAUUCCCGGUGUAGCGGUGAAAUGCGCAGAUAUCGGGAGGAACACCAGCGGCGAAGGCGGCACUCUGGGCUGGAACUGACGCUGAGGAGCGAAAGCGUGGGUAGCAAACAGG
rnacentral:rRNA from 1 species